GUACGUUUUAGUUGGUUUGUGUGCUUUCUGUCAUUUAACGAAACACACGGAUUCCUUUUCACGCACUGUCUUAUAGGUAACUGCUUCCAUUGAUUUAUGGUCGUAACAGCAAAUGUACGACCGCCUUCAGUUUCUCGCUUAUAAUUAGGGCAUAGGAAAUUAAGAUUACUGUAUCUAGUAGCCCUACUAUUUACACAACCAUGGUUUAUGAGUUUCUUUCUUUUUUGUUUUUAGAUUAUUGAGAUAAUGAAUUUCCAGGGAAAAUUAGAGAAUUCGUUUUUCUUUAAAAGUAUUCUCUUGGAGCAGAAAUUUUUGGAUGUUGUUCUACUGGCUAAUAGGUGAGCUUCUUUGUAAGCGGUAAUUUAAUUGCUAAAUGGUUUGAUAUGAAAUUGGACUAAAAUAUUCUGUGCCAAUGAAAGUAUGUAUGAAAUACAUUGGAACUAUUUCUAAUGUUUGUAAUAAAGUAUGGUAUAUAUCAGAAAUGAAACAAUUUGUACUGAUUGACAAAGAUGUACAAAGGCUGCUUAUAAUUUAAACAAAUUUCAAGUGAUAGAAGGGUUGAGUUAAGAAUAUUAAAUCCUAUAUGGCA